rnacentral:lncRNA from 1 species
UGAAUUUUCUCUUUUCUGGUUAUUUUUAAUUCAUUUUAAAUAGUUUUUGAUAUUCAAAAAAUACAAUAAUAUUUUCCUAACCUAUUUGAAUGAUGAUGGAUCUAUGAAAAAUAUUCUCAUCAAUUUUCAAAUUGAUUUGAGAUUUUAAUUCAAUUAGGUUAUUUUUAUUCAUUUUUAAUUGAUUAAAAAUAGUUUCUGACUUUUAAAAAUGCUGAAAUUUUUUGUCAAACUUUGUUUGACCUUGUUGAACUUAGGAUAAAUUAC